rnacentral:rRNA from 1 species
GAGUUUGAUCCUGGCUCAGGACGAACGCUGGCGGCGUGCUUAACACAUGCAAGUCGAGCGAUGAAACUUCUUCGGAAGUGGAUUAGCGGCGGACGGGUGAGUAACACGUGGGCAACCUGCCCUAUAGAGGGGAAUAGCCUUCCGAAAGGAAGAUUAAUACCCCAUAAGAUUGUAGCUUCACAUGGAGCAGCAAUUAAAGGAGCAAUCCGCUAUAGGAUGGGCCCGCGUCGCAUUAGCUAGUUGGUGAGGUAACGGCUCACCAAGGCGACGAUGCGUAGCCGACCUGAGAGGGUGAUCGGCCACAUUGGGACUGAGACACGGCCCAGACUCCUACGGGAGGCAGCAGUGGGGAAUAUUGCACAAUGGGGGAAACCCUGAUGCAGCAACGCCGCGUGAGUGAUGAAGGCCUUCGGGUUGUAAAGCUCUGUCUUUGGGGACGAUAAUGACGGUACCCAAGGAGGAAGCCACGGCUAACUACGUGCCAGCAGCCGCGGUAAUACGUAGGUGGCAAGCGUUGUCCGGAUUUACUGGGCGUAAAGGGAGCGUAGGCGGAUUUUUAAGUGGGAUGUGAAAUACUCGGGCUCAACCCGAGUGCUGCAUUCCAAACUGGGAAUCUAGAGU